rnacentral:tRNA from 1 species
CAAAAAAUAUUUUAUUUUAAAAUCCUAGCUUUGGGAGUUAGGGGUGGGAGUUAAAAUCUCUUU